UUCCGGUUGAUCCCGCCGGAAGUUACUGCUAUCGGUGUUCGACUAAGCCAUGCGAGUCAAAUGUUCUUCGUGAACAUGGCGGACUGCUCAGUAACACGUGGAUAACCUGCCCUUAGGUUCGGCAUAACUCCGGGAAACUGGAGAUAAUUCCGAAUAGGUCAAAUAUGCUGGAAUGCUUUUUGGCCAAAAGACUUCGGUUGCCUAAGGAUGGAUCUGCGGUCUAUCAGGUUGUAGUGGGUGUAACGUACCUACUAGCCUACGACGGAUAUGGGUUGUGAGAGCAAGAGCCCAGAGAUGGAUUCUGAGACAUGAAUCCAGGCCCUACGGGGCGCAGCAGGCGCGAAAACUUUACAAUGCGGGAAACCGCGAUAAGGGGACACCGAGUGCCAGCAUUUAUGUUGGCUGUCCACAUGUGUAAACGGCAUGUGUUAGCAAGGGCCGGGCAAGACCGGUGCCAGCCGCCGCGGUAACACCGGCGGCCCGAGUGGUAAUCACUUUUAUUGGGUCUAAAGGGUCCGUAGCCGGUUUGAUCAGUUCUUCGGGAAAUCUGACAGCUCAACUGUUAGGCUUCCGGGGAAUACUGUCAGACUUGGGACCGGGAGAGGUAAGAGGUACUACAGGGGUAGGAGUGAAAUCUUGUAAUCCCUGUGGGACCACCAGUGGCG
rnacentral:rRNA from 1 species